rfam:Oryza nivara chromosome 3, whole genome shotgun sequence.
UUUAAGUGUAACCAUAAGUUUAUGCGCCCAAUUUUGAUCGUCCGUGUUGUUUGAAAUUUUUUUAUAGUUAGUACUUUUGUUAUGAGAUGAUAAAAUAUGAAUAGCACUUUACUCGUGACUUAUGUUUUUAAUUUUUUUAAAAAAUAUUUUUAAAUAAGAUGGACGGUUAAAGUUAGGUGUAGAAAAUCAUUGCUGCAUUUAAA